NCUAUCGUAUCAAGCGGGACUUGCUUCAGCCUUGCAACGUCCGCAUGGGCAGCAGCGCACGGCAUCUAUUACUGGGCGUUGGGGCCGGUGCUGGGCAUGCAUCGACGGAGCAUUUGGACGCACAGCGCGUGAGUUGCGUUCGGCACAUGCUGUUAGGUUACAUCACUGCUCGAGCAGCGACGUCCUGACCCUCCUGCCAUCUCAGUCGCGGGGCAAGCGCAAUAUAGGCUUGCUCCAAGUCGGUUUCCUGUGCUGCAUGCAUUAUCAAGUUUUAUCGAUCGCCUUUUGCCCCUCGUAUUUCGUGCGCGGGGCGAAUCGAAUGGCCGCCCUCGCAUCCCACGCCUCCCUCGCUUGGGCAUGGGGCCUUCAUCGUCUCCUAUCUGCCCCGUACGACGCUCCUUGCAAACGACGGUCGCGCUCUCCUUGAAUCCGUCUGCGCCCUCGCGGGCAGGCCGGGCUCAUGCGACGCCGGCGUCGAUGAGGAAUGCUACCUGGUUGAUCCUGCCAGUAGUCAUAUGCUUGUCUCAAAGAUUAAACCAUACAUGUGUAAGUAUGAACAAAUUCAGACUGUGACACUGCGAAUGGCCUGCCAUGGUGGUGUCUUUGUCAAGAUGUUGCUAGGAUUCCGCCGGCACCUUAUAAGAAAUCAAAGUUUUUGGGCUCCGGGGGGAGUAUGGUCGCAAGGCUGAAACUUAAAGGAAUUGACGGAAGGGCACCAGCAUGAGUGGAGCCUGCGGCUUAAUUUGACUCAACACGGGGAAACUUACCAGGUCCAGACAUAGUAAGGAUUGACAGACUGAGAGCUCUUUCUUGAUUCUAUGGGCGGUGGUGCAUGGCCGUUCUUAGUUGGUGGAGCGAUUUGUCUAGUUAAUUCUGUUAACGAACGAGACCUCAGCCUGCUAACCAGCCAUGCGGAGCUAUCCCUUCGCGGCCAGCUUCUUAGAGGGACUACGGCCUUUUAGGCCGCGGAAGUUUGAGGUAAUAACAGGUCUGUGAUGCCCUUAGAUGUUCUGGGCCGCACGCGCGCAACACUGAUGUAUUCGACGAGUUUAUAUCCUUGGCCGACAGGCCCGGGUAAUCUUUGAAAUUUCAUUAGGAUGGGGAUAGAUCAUUGCAAUUGUUGGUCUUCAAUGAGGAAUUCCUAGUAAGCGCGAGUCAUCAGCUCGCGUUUACUACGUCCCUGCCCUUUGUACACACCGCCCGUCGCUCCUACCGAUUGAAUGAUCCGGUNCAAUUGAAUGAUCUGGUGAAAUGUUCGGAUCGCGGCGAUGUGGGCGGUUAGCUGCCCGCGACUUCGCGAGAAGUCCAUUGAACCAUAUCAUUUAGAGGAAGGAGAAGUCGUAACAAGGUUUUUCGUAGGUGAACCUGCGGAAGG
rnacentral:rRNA from 1 species